UUGUAGCCUGCUAUGGUAUAAUUUAGUGGCAGACUGUGUGAGUAAUGUAUAGGAAUCUACCUAGUAGUACGGAAUAAUUGUUGGAAACGACAACUAAUACCGUAUACGCCCUACGGGGGAAAAAUUUAUUGCUAUUAGAUGAGCCUAUAUUAGAUUAGCUAGUUGGUGGGGUAAUAGCCUACCAAGGUAAUGAUCUAUAGCUGAUCUGAGAGGAUGAUCAGCCACACUGGAACUGAGAUACGGUCCAGACUCCUACGGGAGGCAGCAGUGGGGAAUAUUGGACAAUGGGCGAAAGCCUGAUCCAGCCAUGCCGCAGAGUGAAGAAGGCCUUUGGGUUGUAAAGCUCUUUUAGUGAGGAAGAUAAUGACGGUACUCACAGAAGAAGUCCUGGCUAACUCCGUGCCAGCAGCCGCGGUAAUACGGAGAGGGCUAGCGUUAUUCGGAAUUAUUGGGCGUAAAGGGCGCGUAGGCUGGUUAAUAAGUUAAAAGUGAAAUCCCGAGGCUUAACCUUGGAAUUGCUUUUAAAACUAUUAAUCUAGAGAUUGAAAGAGGAUAGAGGAAUUCCUGAUGUAGAGGUAAAAUUCGUAAAUAUUAGGAGGAACACCAGUGGCGAAGGCGUCUAUCUGGUUCAAAUCUGACGCUGAAGCGCGAAGGCGUGGGGAGCAAACAGGAUUAGAUACCCUGGUAGUCCACGCUGUAAACGAUGAAUGUUAAAUAUGGGGAGUUUACUUUCUGUAUUACAGCUAACGCGUUAAACAUUCCGCCUGGGGACUACGGUCGCAAGAUUAAAACUCAAAGGAAUUGACGGGGACCCGCACAAGCGGUGGAGCAUGUGGUUUAAUUCGAUGCAACGC
rnacentral:rRNA from 1 species